AAGGAUCAUUACCGAGUAUCGGGCCUCAGCGCCCGCACUCCAACCCUCUGUGUACCAACCUUGUUGCUUUGGCGGGCCCGCGGUGUAACGCCGCCACCGGCUCUUGCUGGUCAGUGCCCGCCAGAGGACCGUUAAACUCUUGUUUUGAACAGUGUAGUCUGAGCGAAAUUUAAUAGUUAAAACUUUCAACAACGGAUCUCUUGGUUCUG
rnacentral:misc_RNA from 1 species